CUGGCGAGUAAAAUGUGCUCUUUUGAAACAUCAUAAUUUAAAUUUAAUCCUUUUGCUGCCCGUAUUUUUUUCUGAUUUCAUUUCGUGUGCCAGAAAACAUGAAAGCUCGAUACCUGUGACGUAUCAUGCCAAACAAUGACGUCAUUAAAAAAUGCUGUAAUGACUGUUUCAUUUUGGACCCAUUGGAGGAAAAUAUUUCUCAAAUGUUUGUGCUAUUUUCAUAAUUUCAUAUUUUCAAGAAGGGGUGUGAUAAAGGGUGGCAUGCGAUAAAGGGUGUGCUAAAGGGUUUGCAAUAAAGUUUUGUGAUACGGAUUAGACAGCUGCAUACUUAUCAAAUAUUCAAUACUACCGUAUUAACUACUAAUUAUAUGAUAAAUGUCUACAAUGAAUAACAAUAAUAUUGAUUUCGUUAAUUUUAUACUCUAAAUUAUUGAUUACACACAUGGUUUAUGGUAUGAUAUGUAAAGUAAAUAAUAACAGAUUGAUAUUACGGUGAUGAUGUUUUCGUUUUAAUUUGACAUUAUAUUCAGCUUUCUGGGCGGCUGUGUUAGUGGUAGUUGAGACUAUGUAUCAGUUCUGUCAUUAUAAAAAAAGUUUUCAUUCGCCCAGGCAGUUUUCCUGGCGGAAUGAAUAUAUCAUGUGGCCGAUAUCGAAUACCACAGGAAAUAGUACAUGCAUAUAGUCAAUAACUCAUUUUUUAAUGAUGUGUACGCUUACUUUGCAGAAAAUAUCCAUCGAUAUACUUUUGGUUAUAGUUAUGUUUUUGGUACUUUCGUAUUAUUCAUUC
rnacentral:lncRNA from 1 species